GAAACCGGAGCUAAUACCGGAUAAUAUAUUGAACCGCAUGGUUAAAUAGUGAAAGACGGUUUUGCUGUCACUUAUAGAUGGAUCCGCGUCGCAUUAGCUAGUUGGUAAGGUAACGGCUUACCAAGGCAACGAUGCGUAGCCGACCUGAGAGGGUGAUCGGCCACACUGGAACUGAGACACGGUCCAG
rnacentral:rRNA from 1 species